ACCUACUGUAUUCAUAUCAUGUCUUCAAUUUUUUAAUGGUUACGGAAAACAACCUACCAAAUUCAUAUCUUGUCUUCAAUGUUUUAAUGGUUACUGAAAGCAUCCUACUGGGUUAAUGUAUUGCUUUUAAAUGAGAAGCUUUAUUAACACUUUAAAGACUUGAAAAAAACAUUCGCUCUGGCAUUUGGUGAUAAGCCUUGAUGGCUGUGGAUAUGAAGGAUAUCGUGUGGUUGAUAUAUUAUUAUACAUUAUUCUCCAAUUUCACUCGUAACUUCUUCAAAUUCAUUGUGUACAAAGUUAUUUGUGUAUGUAACAUACACUAAAGUGUACAGCUUGCUGUGUAAAGUGCAAUUUAACAGGAAAUGUUAGAUAACAAAACGUAUCUGAGACAAAGGAAAUUAGGAAGUAAAUGUCCAGUUCUUGGAAGGAUACAUAGUUGCUAAAUUGAAAAGGAUAUUUUUUUAUAUCGUAGAAAAUUUUUUGUUUGGUGAUCACAAGCUUUAAUCACUGAGGCGUCAGUGUGAUAAACCUCUAGGUUAGAUAUUCUUCCAGAUUGUAUAUCAAGCAGUUUAAUAUAUGAAACAUAUUAAUAUCUCAUGUUUAAAAACCUGCAUAUCACAUUUUCUGUUGGGUAAAUUUUAGGAAAUUAUAUCUCUAAACGUGUACAAUGUCUGUAUUACUCGUGUUGUUUGCCAUUUUUCAUAACCUACAGUAUUUUUAUACACAUCAUAUUUUAAAAGUUCCAGGAUUAUUGUUUUGGGUUUUUAAUCUUGUGUAGCUAUUGUGAUAUUGUUAAAGUAGAACAUUAAUCAGAUUUAGUUUUUGUUGAUACUUUGUUUUUUAUAAAAUUUAUGAAACUGUAGGAUCACGUAACUACAGACGUCACAUGAAACUGUCAAUGUAUAUCCAUGUAUAUGUAUUGUUAUUCUGUGACAAACUUUAUUUUGUUAUUGUUUUCUGCAUUAUAGAAAUGGGAAAAACCUAUGACUACCAGUAACACAAAUAAAAUCCUAAAUCUUGGCA